rnacentral:rRNA from 1 species
GAUGAACGCUGGCGGCGUGCCUAAUACAUGCAAGUCGAGCGAACAGAUGAGGAGCUUGCUCCUCUGACGUUAGCGGCGGACGGGUGAGUAACACGUGGAUAACCUACCUAUAAGACUGGGAUAACUUCGGGAAACCGGAGCUAAUACCGGAUAAUAUAUUGAACCGCAUGGUUCAAUAGUGAAAGACGGUUUUGCUGUCACUUAUAGAUGGAUCCGCGCCGCAUUAGCUAGUUGGUAAGGUAACGGCUUACCAAGGCAACGAUGCGUAGCCGACCUGAGAGGGUGAUCGGCCACACUGGAACUGAGACACGGUCCAGACUCCUACGGGAGGCAGCAAUAGGGAAUCUUCCGCAAAGGGCGAAAGCCUGACGGAGCAACGCCGCAUGAGUGAUGAAGGUCUUCGGAUCGUAAAACUCUGUUAUUAGGGAAGAACAAAUGUGUAAGUAACUAUGCACGUCUUGACGGUACCUAAUCAGAAAGCCACGGCUAACUACGUG